GCCGGCGGCUAGCUCUCUGCAACUCUUACAUGGUCACCUGCUGAAACCAAGCAGAGCUGUGCCUGGUGAGUACCGGGAUGGAAGACCACAUGGGAAAACUAGGUUGCUGUCGGAA
ensembl:rRNA 5S_rRNA 5S ribosomal RNA